rnacentral:ncRNA from 2 species
AAAAAAUCCCGGGGGGGCUGGUGUUGCUGGCUGAGAGUAAGAACGAAAUUCUUAGACCCUUUUAACCUGAACUGGAUAAUUCCAGCGUAGGAAGAGGUUUUACAUAUACA